rnacentral:lncRNA from 1 species
AAAUCCAAUUAAUCCAAAAACUAAUCAUUUAUCAUCUUUUAAUAUUUGAUUGCCCCCAAAUGGAUUCGUUCCCAUACUUCUAUGUUUAACAAAACCUUUUCCCACUUUGUCAUCUUCCCAUGUGAGUAAACAUUCCUCUAAACUCUAAUUUCUGAUUUGAUUCUGAUUACAAAAGCUAUAAUCGUAUACUAGAAAACUCCAAUUGCUCAUAGCCAAAAAAAAAAAAAAAAAAAAAAGCACACACGUCGACAUUAAUCAUUAUAAUAUAAAUUAAUUUGAGACCCCCCGGUCCGCCCAUUCAGAUCUCUGUCUCUUUCUUCACCUCUGUCUCUCUCUCUAUAUCUAUCUAUAAUUCUAUACCCACAAACACAUCUUCCACACACUAUAGUAUCC